UGGGGGGGGAUUCUACACCGUGAGUGUUAAAUUGACCACACCCUCGCAUUUCCGGCAAAGAAGCGCCAUCCAGAGCUGAUCCAGAACUUUCGCAAACAUCGAAAAGAUAAGUUUCACUUUGCUGACGAGUAAACUGAGGAGAGCUGGACAGGGCGGGAACAGUCGAGGAAGGAGAGGAGAGAGCAGCAGCACAGACAGGCUCACAUCAGCAGCACAGGAGGACAGAUAAGAGGAGAGGAGGAAUAAUCAUGUUCUUCAUUCUUAACCUCAGUCCCCCCUUUUAAAACCAACUAUGUUGUCUUGUUUAAUC